AUGGGUUUUCUCAUAAUUUGUGAGGAUGAUGGGUGGCAAGGCUCCACAAACAAUUCUGAUAGGCCAAAAUCGUGCAAUGGAGGUUGCUAUACGGAAUGUGAUUCCAAGCACAGCGCACCGGUGGUGCAAGUGGCACGUACUGAAGAAGAUCCGGCACAAAUGGGCAAAACCUUAUUUCAAAGGUGUGUUCUGUGCCAAAAUGACUAG
rnacentral:rRNA from 1 species